rnacentral:rRNA from 1 species
CAGUAAGGAAUAUUGGUCAAUGGGGGCAACCCUGAACCAGCCAUGCCGCGUGCAGGAAGACAGCCCUACGGGUCGUAAACUGCUUUUGUACGGGAAUAAACCCCUCCUCGUGAGGAGGGCUGAACGUACCGUAAGAAUAAGGAUCGGCUAACUCCGUGCCAGCAGCCGCGGUAAUACGGAGGAUCCAAGCGUUAUCCGGAUUUAUUGGGUUUAAAGGGAGCGUAGGCGGCCCGUUAAGUCAGGGGUGAAAGACGGUGGCUCAACCAUCGCAGUGCCUUUGAUACUGACGGGCUUGAAUGUAGUUGAGGUGGGCGGAAUGUGACAAGUAGCGGUGAAAUGCAUAGAUAUGUCACAGAACACCGAUUGCGAAGGCAGCUCACUAAGCUAUGAUUGACGCUGAGGCUCGAAAGCGUGGGGAUCAAACAGGAUUAGA